GACGAACGCUGGCGGCGUGCUUAACACAUGCAAGUCGAACGGAAAGGCCCUGCUUUUGUGGGGUGCUCGAGUGGCGAACGGGUGAGUAACACGUGAGUAACCUGCCCUUGACUUUGGGAUAACUUCAGGAAACUGGGGCUAAUACCGGAUAGGAGCUCCUGCUGCAUGGUGGGGGUUGGAAAGUUUCGGCGGUUGGGGAUGGACUCGCGGCUUAUCAGCUUGUUGGUGGGGUAGUGGCUUACCAAGGCUUUGACGGGUAGCCGGCCUGAGAGGGUGACCGGCCACAUUGGGACUGAGAUAGGGCCCAGACUCCUACGGGAGGCAGCAGGGGAGAAUAUUACACAAUGGGCGGAAGCCUGAUGCAGCAACGCCGCGUGCGGGAUGACGGCCUUCGGGUUGUAAACCGCUUUCGCCUGUGACGAAGCGUGAGUGACGGUAAUGGGUAAAGAAGCACCGGCUAACUACGUG
rnacentral:rRNA from 1 species